rnacentral:rRNA from 1 species
UACGGAGGGUGCAAGCGUUAUCCGGAUUCACUGGGUUUAAAGGGAGCGCAGGCGGAUUGGUAAGUCAGUGGUGAAAGGCUUGAGCUUAACUCGGGAACUGCCAUUGAUACUAUCAGUCUUGAAUAUUGUUGAGGUUUGCGGAAUGGGUCAUGUAGCGGUGAAAUGCAUAGAUAUGACCCGGAACACCGAUUGCGAAGGCAGCAGGCUAAACAAAGAUUGACGCUGAGGCUCGAAAGCGUGGGGAGCAAACAGG